rnacentral:lncRNA from 1 species
CAAGGCUGCAAAGAUCUAGCCGCUGCUGCUGGAGAACACAGGCCCACGGUCCCAAGGGAAGCACGGGAGGAGGGAGCACUCUGGGGAUAAAGCUGCCUUUGUCAGCAGGCACAGGGGACAUUGUAGGGCUGAGUCUGGAGUGAGUCUGGAGUGCAGUGAAGGAAUUUCUAAAUUGCAGAGAGUGAGCGCCUCUGUCAGUGUCGCCUGCUCAGCUCACACCCACAAUCUCUCUCACAAUGGCCUGGGUGCGGUGGGGCCAGGACAGACUCAGGCCCCACUUCCAUCUUGCUCUGGCAGAGAGGCUGAGGAGCAAUUCAGCACCCCAGGGCUAUGGGGGCUGGCCUUGCCCUUCUUGGAUCCUGAGGCCUGGGAGGGCCCCACAGCCCCCCUCCUCCACUAAGUCUAAGCUCUCUCUUGUCAUCGGCACCUGAAUCCAGUUCCCGCCUCUCCCUCUAUUUUCCGAAGAUCUGUUCUUUCUCACUCUCAGAAGGACAUCCUGCAGAAAGAGUCUCCACCCUGCCCAACACUCCAUAGUCCAGCUCACUGCAAGCCAGAAGAGACGGGGAGGAAGACGCAGGAAAGUUCCACUUCCAGAUCUUCAUAUGGCUGGCUCUUCCCUGACUCCAUCUCCUAAGUGGGAUCUUUCUUGACCACUCAACCUAAACCAGGCACUCACCGUUACCUCUCCUUAUUUUAUUUUCUUCAUAGAACUUGCCAGCAUUUGAAGCUGUCUUGUUAGUCUGCUUGGGUACUUACAUACCACCCAUCCGCCCCAUCUAGGUCCCACACAGGGACCUCAUCAGCCUGUUCACUGUGGGGUCCCCAGCACUAGAGCAUGCCUGGCCCAUAAAGGGUUGAUAAACAUUUACUGAGUGAAUCAAUGCAUAAAUGAAUGAAUAAAUGACUAAUGCCAUGUAAUGAGUUUCUACAUUUGUUUGUAGUUUUCAGUUUACAAAGAGCUCUUCCAGACAUUUCCUUAGCGUAAUUUAUGUGAUUAGGCCCAGGUUUAAAUGGAACUUAAAAAACAUAUUCACAGUAUCUCUCUUAGCUCCUAGAAGCCACAGAUUAGGAAACAGAAUGUUCUCUCCAAGGGAAGAGAGUUUAGUUCCAAGAGCAUUCAUGACCCUCCGGUUAUGACAAGAAGAAUCACUUGGUUUAAUUCAUGGCUCUAAAACAAAUAAAAAGUACUCAGAGAUAUAGAACCUUGGCUGAUUAAUAACAGCAACAACAAGCAUUUGUGCAGCACUUGCUGUGGGCCAGUGUGGAGGCUGAGGCAACUCCAUCUUGGGUGCUAAUCCCCCAUGUUGGAUUCUGAUUAACUCCAGUUCCAGGAAAGUCUCGUAAGGUUUCUAGUCUAUCUACUGUUCCUUGUAUAAGAGCAUGUACUUAUCCUACCCUUAGGUCAAAACAAUCUUGAUGUUAUUGUACUUACCAUAAAUCCUGACCUUGAGCAAUCACCCUACCCAUUCCUUCUGAAGCACUGUACCCUUCUCCUAUGAUAUAUAAACCCUGGGUCUGGGGUGUAAUUGUGGGGAUUCACCAUCUUGUCUCGCCGUCCUAGACACAGACAUGGCUUCUGGACAUAAGUCCCUAUUCAACAUUUCUUUCUAAGAAACUGGAUUUUUCAGCUUCUUUCUUUGGCCCCUCAACUUCCUCAGCCUUUGGGGGUAGGUUUGCAUAGGCCUGCUCACCAUGGAACAGCUAGACACAAGGCUAAGUACCAUCCACACAGUAUCCAGCUCCACAAUUCACUUGGAGGGUUGGUACCAUAAUGAUUUCCCCUUUUUCUUAUAAGAAAGGGAGGAAGAGACAUCACAGGGAGUAAAACAACUCAAAGCCCAAAGUACAGAGCCAGGAUGUUAACCCAGGAUUAUCUGACAACAAAAUCCAGUCAGUUCUUGUCCUUGUAACAAAAGCUGAGUAAGUAAACAUUGCCGUGCUGAGCAUCUGUAGAUUCCUACCCAUCCCCUUCAGCCCUAUCACAUGGGUGGGCUUAGAAAGGGUUAAACGCCACACUGGGAGGGAGUGGUCAGUGCCUGGGUGGUGCUAUUUUUAAGGCCAAUAUUAGGAUGGUUUGCACAGCACCACCUGGCAACAAGAAAAGGCCAGGUAUUAAUGAGUGACACACCCGGGGGAGAAGGGGGAGAAUGUUUCCACUCAGCAAGACUUUGGCAGGAACCAUGUGUUCAGUUUGGGGUCUUGCCUUUUACAAGGGUGUGGAGGCAGUUGAGUCCCUCGUCUUUUCUGGCUGUCAC